rnacentral:tRNA from 1 species
CCCGAGGUGGUGGAACAGGUAGACACAAGGGACUUAAAAUCCCUCGGGCUCACGCCCGUGCCGGUUCGAUUCCGGUCCUCGGGA